rnacentral:rRNA from 1 species
CCGUUGCUUGCAACGGCGAAUUGUAGUCUCGAGAAGCGUUUUCCCGGCGGAUCCUACCUGCCUAAGUUGCUUGGAACAGCACAUCGGAGAGGGUGACAAUCCCGUUCGUGGCAGGGCGGACCGCACACGAUACGCUUUCCAUGAGUCGGGUUGCUUGGGAAUGCAGCCCAAAAUUGGUGGUAAACUCCAUCUAAAGCUAAAUAUUGGCACGAGACCGAUAGCGAACAAGUACCGUGAGGGAAAGAUGAAAAGAACUUUGAAAAGAGAGUUAAAAAGUGCGUGAAACCGUUGGAGGGGAAACGGAUGGAGUUAGCAAUGCUCCUGCGAGAUUCAGGUGGUCGCCUGGCUUGACGUGCGGUUGACGGAUCUGAAUGGACUGUCGCUGCACGGCCUUGCCUCGUGUCCGCCGCACUUCUCGUAGGAGCGCGUCAACAGCUGCUGGUCUGCCGGGCUACACGGCACUGGUGGAAGGUAGGUGUCCGGUUCGCCGGGCAUUGUUAUAGCCACUGGCGUCCCAGCUCGGCUCUGGCAGAGGUGAGCGGUGCAUGCUCUCUCUUCGGCGAGGGCUGGCGUCCUGUUCCGUUCUCCGAGUCGUCCGAGAUGCACUGCGUGCAGUUCGUCUUGGCAGGCAAAGAGGCGUGCAGUCAACGCACACGAUGCACCAUGGUUGUUGGCGGCCAUAUGGCUCUAUCCGACCCGUCUUGAAACACGGACCAAGGAGUCUAACAUGUGCGAAAGUCUUGGGGUGACCGAAACCCAGAGGCGCAAUGAAAGUGAAGGCUGCCUGGCAGCUGAGGUGAGAUCGCUGUCUCGCUCGCGGGGCGGUGCGCAUCAUCGACCGACCUAUUCUACUCUUAGAAAGGUUUGAGUAAGAGCGUACGUGCUGGGACCCGAAAGAUGGUGAACUAUGCCUGAGUAGGGUGAAGCCAGAGGAAACUCUGGUGGAAGCUCGUAGCGAUUCUGACGUGCAAAUCGAUCGUCGAACUUGGGUAUAGGGGCGAAAGACUAAUCGAACCAUCUA